rnacentral:rRNA from 1 species
AGGAUGACGUCAGAUCUGCAUGGCCCUUAUGUCCAGGGCUACACAGGCGCUACAAUGGCAGGUACAAAGGGUUGCAAAACCGCAAGGUGAAGCUAAUCCCACAAAGCCUGUCUCAGUUCGGAUUGAAGGCUGCAACUCGCCUUCAUGAAGUUGGAAUCGCUAGUAAUCGUGAAUCAGCCAUGUCACGGUGAAUACGUUCCCGGAUCUUGUACUCACCGCCCGUCACACCAAGAGAGUUGGUAGCUCCCGAAGCGUCGCAAUAAAGCGGCACCACGGAGAGAUCAGCGAUAGGGGUGAAGUCGUAACAAGGUAUCCGUUGGGGAAUCAGCGGAUGGAUCACCUCCUUUCUAGGGAG